ACUGAACACCAAAGAACAAGAUUAACUAUGCAAAUUAUUAACAAUAUAAAUAGCCAUAAAUAGCCAAAGCUAUAACACUUGUGUUUUCUUUGUAACAAAAUACUGUUGAAAAACAAACAGAACUAAACUCCACUGUGGAGAUGAUUGGAGCAUGUUGAAAAUUCUUCUUCAAUCAAGUUCUCUUACAUUUACAAAGUAAAUGAAAUGGCUAGUGUUUCACACUGAGGUAACUGAGGCUUACUGCCUGUGCUGCAAACCACACAUCAAAAGAGGAGGCUUGCUCUCUGUGCUGUGACAAUGUCACCUGCAGUGACCAGCUUGUGUAAGGGCAGCUGUAGCAUCACCUGUUUCUCCUUCAACACAGCUGCAGCUGUUGUGCUGCGGUGGAAAAACGUGACAACUGUCCUCACUCUGCCGAGGAGUCGGGACGUCUGGUGAACGCCCAUCGCUCUCUGCGCAGCCAGAUUAACGUAUAUGCGGUGAAAAUCCGGCCGCUUCGACAGCAUUGGCAAUGUUUCUGCCGUUAUCUGUUGUCACUUAAAGCACUUACAGCAAAUUGUGUGGGUCUUGUCGACUACACGAUUGCCGUCCUUUAUCUCCACCAUGUAGCCCAAAUGUUGCCAUACUGCUGACUGACAUGAAGAGGGAGGAUCCGCUAUUUCUGGGUUGGUUGCCAUGUUUCCUCACGUUCUUCAACUAGCUCAACUUUUGCAGGCAGGCGUCACAUGAUUCAUUGGAUCUGAACGGGAGGGAUCACUCUGGGAGUUGGAAGGGGUGUGUCACGAUUCUGCCUUCUCACACCGCGACACAGGAUCGUGCAUCUGAGUGUCGCGAUUUCGGUUUCAUAUUGCAUAUUGUUACAGCCCUACUCAUAAUUCAUUGAAUAAUUGCUUAAUAUUGUUUGUGCUAUGUUCUUACCUUGUGGACCACAUGGAUUUGCCAGUGGAGGGUGUGAGGGUUGAUGAUUUUAAAUGAACUUAGCUUUGUGUAUUCAAAGUGAAUGACUGAAUACCUAGUUACAUGACCCACAUAACCAAUAACCUCUGUUAUGAAUGUGAUUCUAAACUUUUCAUUUUUGAAAGUGACUAAAACUGUGAGGUGAGGUGUCAGGUGUUCUUCACUGCAACUUACAUUCCCUUCAUUUUCCUUUUCCCCUUUUACCAGCCAAACCACAACCUGUCAGAAGUUAGUAGCGUUGGCUCAUACUUAUGAGUACAAACACACAGACAAAUACAUUAUGCUUACCUUUAAAUAAAAUGCCACCUUUCCUAUGUGCCUCUAAGUGGCUCUGCA